UGCGAGUUUCUCUACGAUUUGGUCUAUGAAAGGCAAGGGGAAAUGGUCCUUCGAAGUUGCAGCAUUCAACUUCCGGUAGUCAAUGCAAAUCCGCCACCCGGUUACCGGCCGAGUGGCAAUCUUUCAAUGAUUAAAGGUUUAAAACAAUGACAUCCUAGAAUUUAAUCCCAGUUGUUGAUGAACAAACCAAAUAAUUGAUGAACACGAAUGAAUACGAUAAUCAAAUAAUGUUUAAUCAAAACAAAAACAAUAGGAACGACUAACCGAAAGUUUAAUCGAAUCCUAAUCCAAAAAGUUGUAACAAUAAGCAAACCAACGUUUCGUACAUAAACCCUAACCCCGAAGAUGAUCACAGGUGGUUUAGCCACUCAUGCUCUUGAUUUGAUCUUCAAUCUUGAUGAGAAAUUGCAUGAUUGAUGAUUAGGAGAUGAUUGGAAGGUGUGGAAUUGUGGAAGAAUGCCCCAAAAUCCCCUAAUGGUCUCCCCAAAAUCGUCACCGGUCGAAUGGAAUAAAAGAUCCCCAUAAAAACCUAAUUUUCGCAUAUUAAACCUGAUUUCCGUAACCCCUGAACCGUAGGCUACUGUCAGAUCCGUAGGCUACUGUCGGCAGCCUAUUCACAUAACUGUUUUCUUCAUA
rnacentral:lncRNA from 1 species